rnacentral:rRNA from 1 species
GACGAACGCUGGCGGCGUGCUUAACACAUGCAAGUCGAACGGAAAGGCCCUGCUUGCAGGGUACUCGAGUGGCGAACGGGUGAGUAACACGUGGGUGAUCUGCCCUGCACUUCGGGCUAAGCCUGGGAAACUGGGUCUAAUACCGGAUAGGAGCCAUUUUUAGUGUGAUGGUUGGAAAGUUUUUUUCGGUGUAGGAUGAGCUCGCGGCCUAUCAGCUUGUUGGUGGGGUAAUGGCCUACCAAGGCGGCGACGGGUAGCCGGCCUGAGAGGGUGGACGGCCACAUUGGGACUGAGAUACGGCCCAGACUCCUACGGGAGGCAGCAGUGGGGAAUAUUGCACAAGGGGCGCAAGCCUGAUGCAGCGACGCCGCGUGGGGGAUGACGGCCUUCGGGUUGUAAACUCCGUUCGCUAGGGACGAAGCUUUUUGUGACGGUACCUAGAGAAGAAGCACCGGCUAACUACGUG